UUGCGGUCUUGUCUCUUCCAAU
rnacentral:miRNA from 1 species